CUGAUGCAUUGCCGUGGAAAUGCGUGGCAGGAGGGAGGGAAUCUCACCUGCAGUACUUCCAGUGUAAUUCCCUCCUUUGUGCCCGAAAUUAAAAGCCAAUGACUGGAAAUGCAGCCGAGAAAGGCUUUAACUUGCAGCCGUUAAGUGUUGAAAACUGACACACCUGAUGAUGGAUAGUGAAGCAUCUCUUUAAUUUCAUUGCUCUUGCCAGCAAUAACAGCCUUUGUUGGCUCUGAUCUCUGGGCUGGCUCUGCUGAACCGGGGGCAGGCAAUUCCCCAUCCCCUCCUCCGGAGAUCCAAGCCUCUGGGUGCAACAUUCCCGUUUAUCCUCGCAGUCCCUCUUUGCUCCUCUGCUAGAUUUCCCUGACUUGGAAGCACUAACCCCUACCCGGGAUGCAGGAAUGUUCCAGACGACUCUGUUUAUUAUUAAUUAGUUUCUAUACGUGUGUGAAAGUCCCUGCAGCUCCCUUGAAAUGAACCUCCAGAGGCAGAUUUUGUACUGCUUCCCUUGGCUGCCUUCCCCCCCCCUCUGCAGAGCACAACACAAUCGGGUUUCCAGCAGCACGUAGGGGCUGAGGAGAAAAGAGGAAUCAAAUCAGCCCUUGGGAGCUCUGUUUGGUUGUGACCAAAGGUGUUUUCUAAGUGAUGGCUGAGCUGUGAAUUGGAAGUGCUACCUGCAUUGUUUCCUGCCCACCACAGCUAUUGUUCAUAGCCUGAAGCUGGCUCACCUCAGUUUUGUUUGGGAGAUGAAUGUUGGCUAGGACAUCAUCCGUGUCAACCCAGCACAUCCAAUGAGAUCAUCCUGUGGUUGCCAAAUGCUUGUUGGAGAACCCUGCAAUGUUUUGGCUUGAAUAACAGAGGGGAUGGCAGCAAAGGGGAAAAAAGGCCACUUUUGUGCUCAAAGACUGGAGAAAUGUUUAAGUACCCAGAGCUUCGUGUUCAAUUAGUGCAAAGCACGCGUUUGCAGAAACAGGAGGAGGAUGACAGCUAACACAAGAGAGAAGCCACUGGUGCCUGAGAGGGAGAGAGAUGCUGCUGUUUCCUUGCCAUCCCUGGAAGUGUCCAGGGCCAGGCUGGAAGGGGCUCUGACCAACCUGGAAUGACAUGAUCUUUAAGGUUCCUUCAAACCUAAACUGUUCUAGGAUUCUGUGACUCAAAAGCAGCUAAAUUUAGGCCUUGUUCUGCAAGCUGACUCCCCCAUGGUAACUCACAAAGGGAUUCUUGCUUGAUGCUUGCUCUCAAAGGACAAAACCCUUGGGAGGAGAGAACCUCUUUGAGUUCCCACCAUCCCAACAUGUCCAGAGCUCAAAUUUCCCUGGGAACACAUCGAAGAAACAUCUCUGACAAGCUGGAUAUUUUGUACACCUCUAUCCUGACAGGUGAGAUGCUCGCCCACAGGCACCACUGGUGAUGCUCACCCUCUUCCCAGUCAUCACUUGGAAUCAUUUUGUGCUGCUCCACUGGCUCAGGGCCACAGCUGGAUGCCAGGGGAGCUGGGAACACAGCACAUUUUCACACACACAAGUGCCCAAAGGCAUUUAAGAUAGCAAACUCACUCCUUCUAGGCUGUCACCACAGUAACAGGGGGCUUCCCAAAAAUAAUCAACAACAUGAUUCUGAGCCGCUCACUUGUCAUCUCGGAAUUAGCAGCUACUCAAUAUUUUGGCUGAAAAAUGAAAUACCCAGCAGGCAUUGGUGAGUGGGUGUUUCAGAGGGGAGUUUCACAUGAGGCACCUUGUCCUGUGGGACCUUUGGCAGUGGAGGAGAGAUCCCUUCCUGGCACCAGGAUUCUGUAUGUCCUGGUGACAGCAGGGAACCAUGAAAGCUCUUAUGGGUCAUUAAGUCAUUGGGGUGUAAAAACCUCUAUUUACUGUUUGAGAUCCCAGCUCUAGCCAUUACCUCCUGUGGCACAGACACUUUCCAAGGAGGAAUUUCUCACUGUUUACUGCCUAGGCACAGAGAGGGCGAGGUUUCCAGCGAUGCUUUUAUUGCUCAGCUAACAGUGUUAACCUCUUCAGAGAGGAUAUGCACCCGUCUAGCAAUUGUCAUUUACUGAAAUUAGCUUUGCACUUCAGGAUCUGUCAAGUUGCAAUUGUACUAAACGUUUUACUGGCUGCAAAGUGACAGUCCUGACACAGUUAAUGCCAUGACCCUUUGGCCUCAAAGCAGUGUGAGCAGACCCUUGGUCCCUUUCCUUUCCUCUCCUCAGGACUUGCAUCUCCUGAGAUGUAUGUCACUAUCAUUUUGUAAUUUUGUUUUAGCAGUUCUUUUUCACAUGUUGUAGGAAUUUCAAGCUGUGCAUGGAUGAUGUUUUCAAAAUCUCUUCCCUAUUUACAAGGCUCAGAAGCCCUUUUUUAUGUCUACACCUAUUUACUUCAACAAGGAUCAGAGUUGGGAGUGGGGAACACAGCAGCAGGUAUUUCUGGUCUCACAAUAAAAUCAGGUGAAACAAGGUGCAAAUCGUUUGCAGGGCUGCAGCAAGGACAAGGGACAAAGCUCUUCUCAUGCUGUUCUGUAGAGGAGAAAGAGCCCAGCGAGGGCAGUGCUUUGGGGCCAGUCCUAGCUGGACUGGGGGCUGAAAGAGCAAGACACCAGCUGGUCCCAGAAAAUAUUUAGUAGAAUCAGAUCUCCUUGUCCUGCCUGUACAGGCACCUUGUGCUGUCACAGGAUGCUAAACACAGGGUGGUGUUUAGUGUUUGGAGAAGCCACCAGAAAAAAAAAAUCCCAUUGAUCUUAGCUCAGAAGAUGUCCAGCCCUGUUCCUAAAUCCAUGGCACUGUAAAUUGUUGGAAGAUCCCAGCCCAGAUGCCCAGCAAAGAGAUUCUGUUUCCCAGAGCCACGGCAGCUGUUCCCCAAGUGGCACCUCUGGGAUGUGACACCACUGAAGCUCACCUGGCUGAUGAACAUUUGUGAUUAAUUAAACCCCCACUGCCCUCCUGCUUUCCCUACAGGUGUUCCAUUAGGAUCCAAGCAACUGCCACAGUCAAGAACGCAAAGACAAUUACACACUGGAAUUUAAAGAAACCAUUAAUUACCAAGAUGCUUUGGCAGAUGAUGGCUCCAACAAUGCUUAUUACAAGAACCUUCAUCAAGUUAUCUGCUCUUUCAUGUGAGCAGAGGUAACGAUCCCCACUGAGAUGGGAAAAAAAAUUAAAAACCAUACAACAAGAUGUUUUAUUAAUGACACGCACAUCUCCAUAGCUCUAAGAAAAUUGGGCAAGCUGUUCCUACACCACAGCUCUCCAUCAAGGGUUUGGAUUUACCAUCACUUUAAUAAUGGCUUGCUAAAGUGCUAUCUGGUUCCCUUGGGUUGGCUUAAAGGAGGAGAGGACAAAGGGAGGAUUUAUUUAUGAGUGGCACCCAUUGAAGAGCAGAACUACGGCACAGAGUGGAAUAGAAAAAAAGCCUUGCAAAGAGAGUCCCUGCUUAACUCAUUGGCUUUUAAAGAAGGGGUUCAGCAAUGCAAUAACAAAACUGAAAGUGCUUGAAAAAACUAUCUUUAGG